GCGGCGUGCUUAACACAUGCAAGUCCGACGAGAACGUCCCUUCGGGGAUUAGUAAAGUGGCGCACGGGUGAGUAAUACGUGGGUAACCUGCCUGUAUGACUGGGAUAACAUCUCGAAAGGGGUGCUAAUACCGGAUAACACCACGACACGAAGGUGUUGAGGUAAAAGAUGGCCUCUGCAUAUGCUAUCACAUAUAGAUGGGCCCACGGCCUAUCAGCUUGUUGGUGGGGUAAUGGCCUACCAAGGCUCCGACGGGUAGCCGGCCUGAGAGGGUGAACGUCCACACUGGAACUGAGACACGGUCCAGACUCCUACGGGAGGCAGCAGUGGGGAAUUUUGCGCAAUGGGCGAAAGCCUGACGCAGCAACGCCGCGUGAGGGACGAAGGCCUUCGGGUUGUAAACCUCUUUUAAUCGGGAAGAAACCUUGGCCUGCAAAUAGUGGGUCAAAUUGACGGUACCGGUAGAAUAAGCCACGGCUAACUCUGUGCCAGCAGCCGCGGUAAGACAGAGGUGGGAAGCGUUGUUUGGAUUUAUUGGGCGUAAAGAGCGCGUAGGUGGUCUUAUAAGUCGGGGGUGAAAUUCCGGGGCUCAACCCCGGAACUGCCUCCGAUAUCUGUAAGACUUGAGUGCGGGAGAGGGUAGUGGAAUUCCCAGUGUAGAGGUGAAAUUUGUAGAUAUUGGGAAGAACACCAGUGUCGAAGGCAGCUACCUGGACUGCAAAUGACAAUGAGGCGGGAAAGCGUGGGGAGCAACCAGGAUUAGAUACCCUGGUAGUCCACGCCCUAAACGAUGGGCACUAGGUGUGGGAGGUAUCGACCCCUCCCGUGCCGCAGGUAACGCAUUAAGUGCCCCGC
rnacentral:rRNA from 1 species